rnacentral:lncRNA from 1 species
CCUGCACCCCCGCCCCUCCGCCCCCCGGAGAAGGCAGCGGCUCGGGCUCGCUGGGGGCAUAAAGGCCCCGAGACUGAGGACUGGGGGCGCUGCUCUGGGCGCGUCCAUCCCCGUAGUAGCGCAGGGAGAGAGAGAACCGAGAGACCCCCGUGAACUCCCAAGGCGACCCGGCGAGUGGGGAAGCCAGAGCCCAGCAGGUGGGUCUUCUGACCGCGUGGAUGCUCCGUCCACACCUGGUGACUCGGUGCCCUCCGAGUCCCCACACCUCUCCGCGGCGCCUUCCCGAGUAGAACUGCAUCUCUUACGCCCCCCGCCCCAAGUUCAGGUGCCCCACGCCUUCUGGGCUGUGACAGGCACCGCUCAGCGCCCUGUGAUGGUCCUUCCCGUGCUCACGCACAGCACCCAAGGUGCUGGCCGCCCAGACCUUAUUCCCUUUGCUGGGAGGAAACUGAAUUACUGAUGUGGGCUCGGGGGCCUGCGUUCCAGAAGGACCCAGACACCCAGGGUCUUUGUGUCUCCCUGGCCCAGCAGAGAAAAGCUAAAUUGCAUUUGAAAGCCCUACAAGGGGGACGUUAAUUGAGGCAUAAAAGCGUGUGUCUUUGACCUUCCCAGGACCUGUGGUUCUCCCCUUAUCUGGGGCCUGUUCCUGCUGACACGGGUCGGGUCGCAGCCUCCUGCUUUGCACCGUCACCGAGGCUCCGGCUCCGGCUCCGGGUCUCCCUGCUCCACAGUGGGCCUGUGCGCUCAGCUCGCCAGUGUUUCUGUGAGCAUUUCUGAGCCUCCUUCCUGGGACUUCCCAGCCCCGGAAUAAUUUCUCAUAUCUGUCCCAAGUCCCAGUCUCAACGACAGGACUCGCUGACUUCACGGUGGGAUUUGGGGAUUUUGUAGGAAGCCGUGUCCACUCACUCACUCACUCACUCAUUUGUUCACUUUUAAUUUCUCAGUCCCUCACUCAUCCGUGCACUUCUCCAGCCUUUCACUUACGUUUUGGUCCCAUUUCCAGGCAUUUGUUGAUUGAGCCAAAGAGGACUGACUACGUGUGACAUAAGUUGGAUCGAGUCACUGUGGAAGCGUAAGGACUCCUGCAUGCACGGAGCUGUUUGAGUUAGUGAAAAUGGCUGGAGGGAGCUCGUGCAGUGGCCUAAAAUCCCUGUAACGUUGCAUUUUCCAGAAAAGUGUUCAUCCAGGGUUGUUUGAAGGUCUAGGGCUAUAUUUAGUGAGCAAGUCAGCUCAGUUAAAAAUUAGUUUUGGGAGUGAAAGAAAGACCUGAGUUCAGACGUCAGCUUUGCCACUUACCAGUGAUAGGACUCUGGGCUAGGUACUUAAACUGCUCUGAGCCUCACUGUCUUCAUUUUUAUUUUAUUAUUUUAUUUUAUUUUAUUAUUUUAUUUUAUUUUAUUUUAUUUAUUUAUUUUAAUUCUUUUAAUUAAUUUAGCUGUCUUUAUUUUUAUUAUUUUUUUCAUUUUCAGUGAAUUUACUUAUUUAUUUUUUUAUUGUUCAAUUUGCCAACAUAUAGCAUAACACCCAGUGCUCAUCCCAUCAAGUGCCCCCCUCAGUGCCUGUUACCCAGUCACCCCCACUCCCCGCCCUCCUCCCCUUCCACCACCCCUUCCUUGUUUGUUUCCCAGAGUUAGGAGUCUCUUAUGUUCUGUGUCCCUCUCUGAUAUUUCCCACUCAUUUUCUCUCCUUUCCCCUUUAUUCCCUUUCACUAUUUUUUAUAUUCCCCAAAUGAAUGAGACCAUAUAAUGUUUGUCCUUCUCCUAUUGACUUACCUCACUCAGCAUAAUACCCUCCAGUUCCAUUCACGUUGAAGCAAAUGGUGGGUAUUUGUCGUUUCUAAUGGCUGAGGAAUAUUCCAUUGUAUCCAUAAACCACAGCUUCUCUAUCCAUCAUUUCUUGAUGGACACCGAGGCCCCUUCCACAGUUUGGCUAUUGUGGCCAUUGCUGCUAGAAACAUCGGGGUGCAGGUGUCCCAGCGUUUCACUGCAUCUGUAUCUUUGGGGUAAAUCCCCAACAGUGCAAUUGGUGGGUCCUAGGGCAGGUCUAUUUUUGACUCUUUGAGGAACCUCCACACAGUUUUCCAGAGUGGCUGCACCAGGUCACAUUCCCACCAACAGUGUAAGAGGGUUCCCCUUUCUCCACAUCCUCUCCAACAUUUGUGGUUUCCUGCCUUGUUAAUUUUCCCCAUUCUCACUGGUGUGAGGUGGGAUCUCAUCGUGGUUUUGAUUUGUAUUUCCCUGAUGGCAAGUGAUGCAGAACAUGUUCUCAUGUGCAUGUUGGCCAUGUCUGUGUCUUCCUCGGUGAGAUUUCUGUUCAUGUCUUUUGCCCAUUUCAUGAUGGAUUGUUUGUUUCUUUGCUGUUGAGUUUAAGAAGUUCUUUAUAGAUCUUGGAAACUAGCCCUUUAUCUGAUACGUCAUUUGCAAAUAUCUCCUCCCAUCCUGUAGGUUGUCUUGUAGUUUUGCUGACUGUAUCCUUUGCUGUGCAGCAGCUUCUUAUCUUGAUGAAGUCCCAAUAGUUCAUUUUUGCUUUUGUUUCUUUUGCCUUCGUGGAUGUAUCUUGCCAGAAGUUACUGUGGCCGAGUUCCAAAAGGGUGUUGCCUGUGUUCUCCUCUAGGAUUUUGAUGGAAUCUUGUCUCACAUUUAGAUCUUUCAUACAUUUUGAGUUUAUCUUUGUGUAUGGUGCAAGGGAGUGGUCUAGUUUCAUUCUUCUGCAUGUGGAUGUCCAAUUUUCCCAGCACCAUUUAUUGAAGAGACUGUCUUUAUUUUUAAAAGAGAGGUCCUAAUAUCUACCUGGGAAAAGAGAAGACAUGUGGACGUACCCACACGGAUCCUGGCACACCACCGUUGGCGCUGGCAUUAUUACUACUGCCCACGAUGAAGGCGGGUUUGGACCACCAGACAGCAUUGCUGAUGGGUCCCUGUGUCCUCUGCGGAAUCACAGAUACUCUGAUGGUCUCAUAAGAAACAAGCUGAAAAAUGGGCCUUCCUUGAGGAAGCCGGCAGCAUAGAAUAAAAUGAAACCGCUGAUGCUUUAGACUUUACUUUCACCACCUCCUGGGGGGCGGGGGGAAGGACUGGAGGCCCCUGUGUGUGGGACAGCAGGAGUGACAUCAGGGAGAGUGAGAGACACAGGUGAUAAGUGGGCACGAUGGCAGCAACACGGCCAGCUCAGGAAUGCCUGAACUUCCCUGCCUCCAUCUGGGGAUGCCUCCCCUGUUGAAAGCACCCAUCCAUUCUUGUAUCUAUUUGCAACACGGUUCUGUUUGGCGUGCUAAGUUCUGGAUGGGUUUCUGAAGAGCCACUGCCACUGC